UGAAGUGCCGCAGAACUGAGCAAUACUCGCGCUGUGUGUUCAUUACCGAACACUGAAUAUGUGUGCGAAAUAUCUUGCUCCAACUGUUCGUAGUUUUUUAGAAAACAGUUUUUUUAGUUCCCACGCCCGGCCGUCAGACCGUCGGCAAACCCUGCGCACGGGCGCACCGACGUCACCGCUCUCGGUUUAUCUGUCUUUGGCUUGGCAUGGACUCUUGGCUUGGCCGCUUGGCUUCUUUCGUUUCGUCCUCUGUGCAUCGUACAUAAGCGAACAGCUGUUAUGUUGUUGCUAAACCGGAAACAAAGCAUGUGAAUAUUUUUUUUUGGCACGGCGUCGUUUGGAAAGUGCACUUCCUUGUUCUGACCUUGCCUUUUAUGGGCUGGAGCGAUACGAUACGUGAUAUGCCACGGCGAAGUUGUCGAAGAUGCGACGGUGCUACGCUGUUAGAACAAUUCAUCGGAGCAUUCAAGUGUUACCUAUUAUAAGCUGCCAAAAGACCAAGCAGUGCGAAGCUCUUGGCUGACAGUGGUGCCUGCUAAUUUCCACUGCAAGGAUUUCGUCCACAAAUGUUAUCAUAGGUUACGAGCGACUCCAGAGGCAAUUUGGAAUCUCGGCACGAAAUCGUCUGAUGAAAAUCUGAAGUGCCCGACGCACAACAUUUUGAACGUGCCACGGAGGAUCAAGGCAAAAAACGAGAGCAAAAAAGGUGCACGCUGAAGGCGGAAAUGAAGCAUGAUCUGGCUUGCAUCUGGUGCAUGAAGAAAUUGCUGGCACGUUAGUUGCAGUCUACCUCCACCAACAGGGUGGAAAACAAAGGUCGCCAUUCCGAUUAGCUGCUAUCUCCCAGUUCAAGCACUUUUGCUGUCUGGACACUGGUUCCUGUGGAUGGGGUGUUACAAGCUUCACUGUCUGAUAUAGAAGUGAUGAGCAUCCAUAAGGACACAUGCCAGAAAGGGAGUCUCUUUGGGAUGACAAACCCUCAUCACCUCAUGAGGAUACAAUGGUUGACGAAUGGUUCUCAAGUACAUCGAAACUUCAACAAAUAAUUCAUGAAGAAGCCAGUCAGUGCUAGCACCAGGAAUUGAACGUGGACCGUCCUGCUACCAGUCAGAGAUGUUACAUUUCAGGCGCUCAUUGACUUUUGGUGAAUUACUUGUUGACUUUGUCCCAAGGUGGAGCUCGCCACAGCUCAUUUGCCUAUCUGUUAAUGUUGUGGCGUGUGUUGCGUUUUUCUCUUUGUGUGUUCCAGACUCAGAAUGGUUAAUUUGGAUCAGGUCAGGUACGUUUCAUUUAGACAUGGCAAACAUAAAGUGGUGUUUCUCAACACAACUUAGCAGUGGCCUUCAUGCAUUACUGCUAUGGCCAUUAAGCGUGAAUGGAAAGCUCCACAUUAUGCAUGAUGUAAAACCCCAAGACUAGGGAACACGAAGGGACA